AAUGACCUAGACUGUGGGCCCAGGACUGAAGAGAGCUCCCCUCUGUGUGGCAGAAUAUGCACGUCUUCUUCCAUCCUUCAGAUUCUGAACAUUUCCGUUCCACAUUCAAACAUCCUCAACUUUCAUCCUCAGUCUUUCAACUGAGAAACAAAACAUGCAGACACAAACCCUGACUGUAUUCUACAAACAAGGUAAGGUGAAGAAGGUAUUGAGCUCUGUCAGAUGGCAAAGAACAGGGAAACACCCAAGUUACCUUCAGGGAAGCCCUUUCUCCGAGGCUACACAGGUGAGUAAGAAAAAUAGGAAAUGGCUCUUUUCCAUCUUGCAAGAUGGUGGGCGAAACAGCUGAGAAGCUGGAUGCUAAGAAGAAACCUGAAGCCAAGAAGGCCGAUGCUGGUGGCAAGGUUAUGACAGUAACCUCCAGGCUAAAAUACCAAAGAAGGGGAAGACCCCCUGCAGGAGAUAACCUGUCUCAGUCCAAGGCGUCCCCAGACAUCCCCCACCGGGUGUGUAUUCCAGAAGAGCUCUGUGCAAGAGGAAGUAGUCAGCAGCUAAAUCCGGGGUUGAAAAGAAAAAGGAGAAGGUUCUUGCUAUUGUCACAAAACCAGCUGGUGGGGACAAGAAUGGUGGUACCCAAAUGGUUAAACUUUGCACAAGGCCUAGGUAUCAUCCUACUGAAGAUGUGUCUCAAAAGCUGUUGAGCCGUGCAAAAAAACCUUUCAGCCAGCAUGUGAGAAAACGGAGAGCUGGUGUCACUCCUGGGACCAUUUUGAUCAUCUUCACUGGGCGCCACAGAAGAAGAGGGUGGUUUUCCUAAAGCAGCUGAGCUGUGGCUUGUUACUUGUGACCAGACCCCUGGCCCUCAAUCCUCUGCAUAGAACACACCAGAAAUUUGUCAUUGCCACCCCCACCAAAACAUCUCACUGAUGCUUCAAGAAGAAGAAGCCAUGUAAAGCUACACACGAGGAAGUCAGUGUGUGACUACUGAAUGAAAAUAAGCUGAAGACAGACACAUUCCAUUCUCCAAUUCAGACCAUCACCUUCUGCUAAGCCGCCCCCCACCAUGUGCUGCUGCAAGAGAGAUGGAGCCAACUUGCGGGGCUACCCAACCGAUCCUGUGGAAGCCGCUGAGUCCAAGAGAGCGCUGUCUUCUGAUACCAGCACCAAACAAGUAUGAACUGUUUCUGGAACCCCUUGUGCACUGGCCACACUUUUGAACUCAGAGGACUUACGAAUGUAUGAAAUAAUUAGAUCGACCCCCCCCCUUUUUUUAAGUAGGCUCCACGCCCAGUGUGGAGCCCAACAUGGGGCUUGAACUCACGAGCCUGAGAUCAAGACCUGAGCUGAGAUCAAGAGUUGGACACUUAACUGAGUGAGCCACCCCAUAAUUAGAUCUAUCUCAAAAUGCUCACCAAAUAAUAAACGUACGCAACAGCUAUGCAGCAGAAUGGUUUUUAAAAUAAUGGUUUAGCCUUUUUAUCACAUUAAAUCUCAUAGGGAAAGAAGCUCACUACAUAAGAAAAACAUGGAGGUGGAACUUCUCUGGGUGAAGAGGGCCAAGGAGUUGAAUCCUACCCACUGUGUACCCAUCUGGAUACUCACUAGAGCCCUUAGAGGCCCUUCUGUGGAUCUCCAAGGAUCCCUUGAACCCUUGGUUUGCAAAUGUAUAGGGUUUGCAAAUGUAUAGCGUUUGCAAAUGUAUGGGGUGGUGAAAAGAGCUCAGCCUCCCAAGUUGGGAAAUGGUGUGCGUUUUGGCUUUGCUGUCAACUAUCUGAGUGACCUGGGGCAAGUGAAGCAAUCCACUCACUUCCUGUCAGCCUCAUGCCCACACCCACAGGAACAGGAGACCAAGCCAUGCAGGGGCCUGCAUCUACGGUGGAGAAUUACUCAGAUAUCCCCUCCUCCUCAUCUACUCAGAAUGUCCUUUCUCAGCAGCCUCCUCCAUCUUGUGGUUGGCUAUUUAUCUGGAUGGGCUAUGUAUCUCCGAUAUCAGCAGAGCUGAUUGCUGCCCCAAACUCCAUCAUCCUCUUCAAUGGAAUCUCAAUCUUGUCUGGUUGACAAUGUACUACUUAAGACACUUACUUCCCCAGACUCCCUUGCAUCUAGGGGUGGCCACCUGGCUCUAUGGCUAAUGAGUCAUCAGCAGAAGUCCGCUUGGUGUGGCUUUCAGCAAUUCAAUUGCUUUCCUGAUUAAGAAAAGAAAAGAUAGAUCCUGUUGCAACAUGCCUUAUGCUCUUUCCUCUUCCUUUCUGCCUGCCAUGUGGAUGUGAAGCCUGCAGGCAGAACAGCCACCUUGCACCCAUGAGGCAGAAGGAUGGACUGGUAUAGGUGGGAGGUAGCCACUUAGGCAACACUGGGGCCCCAGCAUUUUACCAAGCUACAAGAAUUGGGCCAAUGCAGCAGCAAUGUCUUUCUUGGUGAGCGCUGUCCUCCUUGGAGAGCCAGAUAGAGGUGGGGUCUUGAGCCAUUAACACCCAUCCUGCCUGCGAAGGUUCUCCAACUACAAAGGCCCUGCUCAAGCCAGGUACUUGCAUGUUUGGCCACCAGAUGGCACCAGAUGAGUGCUUUUAAGAAAGGAAAAAAAAAAGAGGAAGUCGGCCGUUCCUAACAGCCACCACGAGGCAAUCCCGCUAGAUACAGGUACCCCUGCUUUUUGAAAGUUUGAGCUAUGCCAUUUCACUUUUCAAAAGACCUACAUUAGUACCUGCUUUCCCGGACCGAAAGAAAUCUGAAGAGGAUAUUUGCUUCUGUGGAAAAAAAGUGAAAAGUGACAGCAGUCAGCACUGAUUUCCCGGGAGCCCUUACGGAAACUGCCGGCAGCACGAGCUUUGGGAGUGGCGCCACCAAGCGCCUUCGCGGGGAAUUACACUCAGCCUCUCAGCAUCUCCCCGUGGAACUAUGUGCGCAUAGGUGCUUUAUCUGGAUUUCUUUUGUGCCUCCGUUAGCACGAUGUGCCCUAAGGUAUCAGAAAAGCCCAAGAGAGAUUAUUUUUUGGGUCUUGGGAUGUUAAAAUUUUUUCCAUAUAAAUUAAUGUUAGCUGUUUCUUCACUGUAUGCCAUUUUGGCUUCCAAAAGUUUUCAUAGGAAUGCUCUAUUUUUGGAGAGGGAGGGAAACCUGUAAUCGAUGCUGAAAACGCCCACAAGAAAGCAUAUUUCACGUGUCUGUUCUAAGUGUCAGUUGAUAUUUUGAUGUGCUUUUCUUGCCAUCAAGGUACAGACGAAUUCCUUUCUUAACCUUAAAAUGACAGAUAAGGGCCUCCCGGCCCUGUUUAGUCUAGAUUUUCCUUCCCUGCCUUGUGUCUAGAAAGCCACCUGGGAGUAAGAACUGGAAGCAGGCUUAUCUUUAUUUGCAUCUAACAUGAACUUCCCUUGGCUAUAGACUGCUCGCCAGUGAGCCAUUGAAUACCGCAGUAGAAGAAGAGGUCAGUGAGGAAUUAUUGCUAAUAUUAGUAUUAUUGGACUAAAAUACGUAUCCCAUUUUGUGAGGAGAAGUGCUGACUGUCUUGUGCUGUCUGAAGAUGAGUACAGUUGGCCCCUGCACAUUAGCCUCUCUCUUCUGGUUACAUCCAGAUUGGAUUUGGCACAUGUGGGAUCUAGAGUCCAAGGUAAGGAGUGCCUGAGAGUCCACCACAGGUCUUUGGGGCUGAGAAGGUGGGAGUAGGAGGCACAAGGCAAGAGGGAACUGAGAAAAAUAAAGACGUUCAGCGCUGGCUUUGUGCUUCUAUACAUUUUUGACCCUGGGGAAUUUUAAAGGACUAUUUUUUUAAAAGAUUUUAUUUAUUUAUU